rnacentral:misc_RNA from 1 species
CCUCCUCUUCCUCUACAUCACCGUGGCCACCGUCAUCGGUUACAAGAAUCAGUCCGCCACCGAAAAAUGCGAUGGUGUCGGCAUCCUCGGCAUCGCAUGGGCUUUCGGAGGCAUGAUAUUCGUGCUUGUCUACUGCACAGCCGGAAUCUCUGGGGGUCACAUCAAUCCCGCGGUCACAUUCGGGCUGUUUCUGGCGAGGAAGGUGUCGCUGGUACGAGCGGUGCUUUACAUGAUAGCGCAGUCGCUAGGAGCGAUCUGCGGGGUGGGGAUUGUCAAGGGGAUCAUGAAGGACUACUACAUCUUGUAUGGAGGCGGAGCUAACGAGGUAGCUCCCGGCUACUCGAAAGGAACUGCUCUCGGUGCUGAGAUCAUCGGGACAUUCGUGCUAGUCUACACUGUCUUCUCCGCCACCGACCCCAAGCGUAGUGCCCGCGACUCUCAUGUUCCGGUGUUGGCUCCAUUGCCAAUUGGGUUUGCGGUGUUCAUGGUUCACCUGGCCACGAUUCCAAUCACUGGCACCGGUAUUAACCCAGCCAGGAGCUUAGGUGCUGCUGUUAUCUACAAUGAGCACUCGGCAUGGAAGGAUCAUUGGAUCUUCUGGGUCGGCCCGUUUGUUGGUGCCCUUGCGGCGGCGGCGUACCACCAGUACAUUUUAAGGGCGGCUGCUAUCAAGGCGCUGGGAUCUUUCCGGAGCAACCCACACAACUGAGCAGCUCUAGUAAAUUAUUGGCUUGUUUAUGUGUUCUAGCAUGUGAAAUUCAGAGUGGGGGGAGAUUGAACUUUGGUUUUUCAGUUUUUAUUUGGUGUAGCGUGAAUUGG